AGCGAACGCUGGCGGCAGGCCUAAAACAUGCAAGUCGAACGCCGUAGCAAUACGGAGUGGCAGACGGGUGAGUAACACGUGGGAACGUGCCCUUUGGUUCGGAACAACUCAGGGAAACUUGUGCUAAUACCGGAUAAGCCCUUACGGGGAAAGAUUUAUCGCCGAAGGAUCGGCCCGCGUCUGAUUAGCUAGUUGGUGGGGUAACGGCCCACCAAGGCUACGAUCAGUAGCUGGUCUGAGAGGAUGAUCAGCCACACUGGGACUGAGACACGGCCCAGACUCCUACGGGAGGCAGCAGUUAGGAAUCUUGGACAAUGGGCGCAAGCCUGAUCCAGCCAUGCCGCGUGAGUGAUGAAGGCCUUAGGGUUGUAAAGCUCUUUCAGCGGGGAAGAUAAUGACGGUACCCGCAGAAGAAGCCCCGGCUAACUUCGUGCCAGCCGCCGCGGUAA
rnacentral:rRNA from 1 species